GUUGUUAAGGCUCAUCUUCUGCUCAGAAUGUAAAACGACCCAAAUUCUCAAAGUGAAUGUAUGGUAGAAUCCUUCCAGCAUCGUUAAUAGGCGAUGGAUAGGAGCCUAUUGUCCGUGUCUUCUGCGUCGGAGUGACAGCUGUCAAGAAAAUCUCUGAGAGCAACGUUGCCACGUUAUAUCCCGACAUCACCGACGCAUUCUCCGAGCUUCGACGAUGAUAUCUGCUUAAUUUGAUGCUGCGUAAGGGUUCGAUGAUCCAUCGAGAGCACCAGGAAGGACUGGGUGCCUAUCCACAAGAGUCAACAGUCAUUGUGAUUUGGUAUUCUUGUACGGUACCGAGAUUACCCUGAGGUCAAUCUGCUUUGUGAAGAUUCGUCUGGUGUGACACGUGGGAGCGUUAACUUUUGAGGAGUGAUGACAAUCAUUGGUCAGGUAAUCGAUAACUGGGUUGUCAAUGUGACAGAAGGCUGGACGAUCCUAGGAGGUGUGAUCAGAGCGCAAUUACCAGAGAAGAUACAGACAACGUAACACGUGGGUUCCUUCUUCACGAGGUCAUCAUCCGCCGCCAUCCUUCACAAUUGGGAACGCUAGGUUGGUUUCGUGCUCGGCGUCAUAACUCAAAAACUCAAGGCAACCCAGCACCUAAAUCCAUCGUUAGAAGGGGAGAAUAGAAAAAUGUAUUAGAUUAUGAGUAAAUUGAUCGUCAUUCGUAAUACGAUGUAAAAGAUGAGCUCCUUCCAGGCGGCGGUUAAAGAUCGAAAGAAUGAUCUCCCGGACGAGGGAUACGAAGCGAGAAUUCCUAUAGCUAAAAUGAUUUUUAAUUUGUUACAUCGAGAAGAUU